UGGGGAAUAUUGGACAAUGGGGGCAACCCUGAUCCAGCCAUGCCGCGUGUGUGAAGAAGGCCUUCGGGUUGUAAAGCACUUUCAGUGGGGAGGAAGGCCUGUUGGUUAAUACCCAUCGGGAUUGACGUUACCCACAGAAGAAGCACCGGCAAACUCCGUGCCAGCAGCCGCGGUAAUACGGAGGGUGCGAGCGUUAAUCGGAAUUACUGGGCGUAAAGCGCACGUAGGCGGCCUGUUAAGCUGGAUGUGA
rnacentral:rRNA from 1 species